ensembl:misc_RNA Telomerase-vert Vertebrate telomerase RNA
UCUAACCCUCAAUUCUGAUAGCUGUGGGUGCUGUGCUUUCGUCUCCAUCAGCUGCUUUUUUCUCUGACUUCCAGGGGGCUGGAAAGUUCAGGCCUGCAGUGAGCCACUGCAUGUUCUCAACCACAAAGAACAGAGAA